UAGAAAGUGUGUUUCAGAGUUGAAUAUAUGAAUUAAAGCAUUGGCACAGUGAAUGGCAGCUGAAAAAUUUUGACCCUUGUUUCUGGAAGUGAAAUGUUAGAUGGUUUGAUGAAGUGCCACAGAGAUUAUCGCUUAAAGAAUGCGUGCAGGCCAACCACCAACACAAGAUAUUAAAAGAGCAAUGAAAAUGAAGAUUUAACUAUAA
rnacentral:lncRNA from 1 species